CUCCAAUGGGGCUGUGUGCAAAUCGACCUGGAGCUUGGAAAGACUGCCACAGUAAGGCUGUGUAAGGCCUUAGGGGCUCACAUUUCCCUGGAACCCUGGAAACAUUUCCAUGGCAAUUAUCUCAUGCUCGUUGAGGGUAAGAAGGAUGGAACACAAUUAAUUUACAACAAUCAUAAAGAAAAGUGUCUAAUGUCUUAAAUGAAGAAUGCUCAGGACUUCAGGAGAUGGAAAAGAGAAUUUGUAAUUGGACUGGUUGAGAAAGACUUCAAGAAGGAUGCAGAACUUGAGCUUGGUCUUUAAAGAGAAGUAGGACUCUGGUAAAAUGGUUUACAGACCUCUUGGGGUGCCGUAUUACCCUGAAGCUGCUUCAAGUCCACAAAAAUAAAUGUGUCAAGUCUUAGCGCUGUUUAGAAAGCUUGGUUAAUCCUCUGAUGGACAAAUCAAGAUCAGGCUUAAAAAAAAAAAAGCAACACCCCUCAGUCCUCAGUAGCACAUUAAAAGCUGACAUGAAUAGGGAUUCAUAACCACUGAGACACUAGUUUUGACAUGAAAAUACUCCAUCAGAAUGUGAACUCCAAUCCACCACGUGAAGGGAUACUGUUUCCCGGUGAUGCAUUUUGGCCAGACUUCACAAGGAACACGUUUUCAUCAUUUCAGUCACUCAAAAAUGAACAAAAAAAAAAAAGAAAAAGAAAAAGAAAAGAAAGAAAAAAGCUAACGCAAUAGAAGCAGCCAAGCUCCCAGGCUUGACAAAUGGAUAAAAUGUACCUUCUCUGGAUAUUUAAAAAAAAUAAACUUUUUUCAAUGUUUUUGACAUCCUCUUAUGUGUGCGUGCAUGCACCACCACCACGGACUCCAGCUCCAACUUGUCGUUUCUAGAGUUCCUUUAAUCUCUCCCUCCCUCUCUCUGGCACUGGUAUGUUUUCCACGACUGCUGUUUGAGCUUUUCUAAAUGAAGGUGCUGACAUCUGCACUCAUUUCAGAGCCUUCUUCUUGAUGUCUCAAUAUUUUAGGAAAGCGAGGCUGCCAAACCCCCUGACCACAGAAAUGACAAGAUGGACUUAGGUUUUAAAACUGAGGGAAAAUGAUUUGAAGUCAUGAUGAAAGGAAGCAGGUCCAACAGCAACUCCCUCUGAAAAAUAGUGUUUUACUAAGCCCAAAUUCAGAAAUUGUUAAUCUGGAGGGCUCAAAGGGCACAAAAAUAUAUAAUGCUUAUUGUAAGGGUAUAGUCUUUACUCCACUAGCUCCCUUGAACUCUGAGACAGGUGAGACCUCUGAAUGAUACUCUGAAACACAAGUCUAGGCAAACAGGUGAGUAAUAAUUUUUCAUUUGUGGCUGCCACCCCAUAAACCUGACCAACUUGGACAAUCCUUCAUCUCCCUUCUGCUACCCACAGAGGGGCACAGAUCAUCUGGGAUCUACAAUCUCCUAGUUACACAGAAAACGAGAAUCAUUUCUUUUGGAACAGAGCCCAAGGCAUUGGCCCAGAUGGAAACAUGCACUCAUACAGCAGGGCAGGAUUGGAGCAAACACCAGGCACUACGGGAGCAGAAUUCCACAGAGUGCCAAGUCCUGCAUAAGCACCUUUCCUCUACAGAUGUAGGCUGCAAUAACCUCACAACAUGGUGGGGAAGGGGCUAAUUAGAACCAUCAGCACUGGAAAAAUCCCCUGUACUCUUUUAUAUAGUGCUGGCCUUAUGGCUUCCAGAUGAAGGUGGCGGCCAAUCUGCUGUGUGGAUUCAGCUGACCCAAGUGGGAGGUUGUUUCUAACCUGCCAUGUCCAUAUCCCUAACCUUCUCCUCAGUUGAGUGACAGGCACUCAUCAAUUGGGAAGGCAAUGAGCCAUACAUAUCCCAGCUCUGCCUUUUCUAGUGAAUUUCACUGUGAUGCAAGGCAGAAUAUUGGCAUGAAAAGAAUACAAAUCCCAGGAACUUUGCUUGAGUCUCAGCUAUGAGACUCGGCAAGUUAAGUGAUCAUAGUGACACCUAAUUUAGGAGGCCCAACAAUAUUUUGGAACUUGACAUAAUUAGCACACUGUCAUCUGAAAACAUGGACAUCUGGAAGAGCUCCUCAUCAGAAAGAAUGCCCCUUCAACUUAUGCUUUGUAUUGGAACUUUUCUGUUAUCAUGACAGUAUAUUUUUUGGCAAGCAUACACCUUCAUAUUUAUGCCUUCUCCUAAUGGCAAAAGGCUUGUUGAAUAUGGUUGUCUCUGUUAUGUAUUUCAAGAUAUCUGUAUAAUUUUGACAAAUAUAUGGGACAUUAUUUCUGCUAUUUCUACUUUACCAAAUAAAUGCUUUUGUAGGUU